rnacentral:sRNA from 1 species
GCCAGGUGUGGUAGAGCAUACCUGUAGUCCCAGCUAUCAGGAGGCUGAGGCAGGAGGUUCACUUGAGCCUAGGAGUUAGAGGCCAGCCUGGGCAAAUAGCAACACCUCAUCUCUG